UGAAAACAAGGCAAAAAAAUUUUUCCCCAACACGGGAUGCGAUAAGUAGCCACAGCCAUUCGACAUGGCCGUGGGCAAAACUGCCAAAAUAACACGGGCAUGCGACCCUCCUAUGUUUGGAAACUGUGGGUAAACCUAUCAAUUUAACAUGGGCCUCCGUCUUCAUACACGGGCGUGGGAGAAGCGAACAGAGAUCGACACGGUCGUGCAACAUGGCUGUGUACACCAAUGAGCCUAAUUUUGAAAAUCACGACA
rnacentral:lncRNA from 1 species